GCGCGCGAGGGAGCAUUCUCCCCUGAGCACUCUCUGCCCAGCUCUCUCGCGCGAACCGCAUUGAUGCAGGAGCUGGAAUAUGAUGUAAUUCCGGCUCCGGCAUCAGUAAGCGGUGUGCAAGGGAGCUGGGCAGAGAGCGUUCAGGGGAGAAUGCUCCCUCACCGCC